AGUGUUUAACUAGUGAAGCACUAUACGACAUUUAUGAAGGUACAUAUGCAGAAGGCAAAUAUGCUUGUGGAUGUGAGUAUUAUAGUAAUCACUCUAAAGGUUCAUCAUCGACCUCCCAGCCGGAGUCUCCAUUAGUCACGAUUCCAGGUGUCAGAGAGAAUUUUGAUGAACAUGUUGAAGAGACUCAGGAUGUCAAUCUGUUAGCUCAAAUACCCUUGCCAAAUGACCUACCUUACCCAGUCAAGUGCCUCCACCAUCACAAUCACAAACGCAAGCUUAAGAAGAAGUUAGGACUACAUCAAGUUAUAAAAAAAGAAAAAUGAGAAAAGAAAAUAUCGAUAAAAUGGGAGAUUAUCUAAUUGUGAAGGAGAGAGGUGAUGAUAAACUUGCUAAAGCUGUCACCGCAGCAGAGGUACAAACAAGAAGUUAUCAUAAUGAUAAAUAUUAUGUUGAUAAAUGUAUGGAGGUGUUUUAUGCAUUGCUUGAUCCAUGGACCAUGGACGAGGUAUUUAAAGCUUCAAGAGUGUUUCAAAGAAAGAAAAAGAAUCAUGAGGCUUGGCUUUCAUUGAAAGAUGAACAUAGGGCUUAUUGGAUAAAAAAGGUAUGGGAAGAAAGAAUUUAGAGUUAAACCUUAAGGUUGUUGCUUAGUUUCUUUACUAUGCUUUUUUAUUAGGCUUCUUUCAUUUUGUUUGUCAUGUUAAAUCUUACCGUUGACAUUUGUUGGUAUAUUGAACUUUAUAGUCUAUUUAGCAAGUUGGUAUCUUUAAUGCUAAAUAGAUUUUUGUUGGUAUCUA